GCUUGGAGCUCACUGCUCUGACCUCCCAGCAUUCCCCACCAGAGGCCCAUCAUUUGCAGGACACACCUGAAGUUCUUAUUUGCCCAGCACCCCACCCUGGGUUUGAGUGACACACCCAUAUUCCCUAGAGAGCCCUUUCCCCUAGUCACAGCCCAUUUGUGCUUAGGGUAAGGUGGCCUUUCCUUCCCUCUGCCCUGGCUUCCAGGUUAGAUGGUCACAUGACCCAGGCUUAGCCAGAGCCCUUAAUGGCCUCUAGAAUUCGAACAUUCUGGAAAUAAGUUUCCUGACUGUCAGGAAAGCUGAUAAAGACACUUAUUUUUUUCGUUUCUACAAAGAAAUCCACUAGGCCUAGGUGUCUGGGCCAAGGUAGCUGUGUGUGGUGACUAACUGAGGGAGAGAGCACCCCACGGGCAGGCCAGAAGACACAGCCACGAGCCUCUGACCUCUCCAGGAAGGGCACCUGGUUCCCCAGCAUCCCAGACAACAGUCCCCUGUGUGGCUCCUGGUGUGAUGUGCACUAGGCCCAGAAGGACAUGGAGAGAAUGUGCACAGCCUUGUCCCGGCGCUGGAAAACAGAAGCUAACCUGUAAGCAACUAGAGGAUGUUUUCAGCUCGUGAGGAAGACUUAGCUUUUAAAAAGUAAAAAGCAGGAACAGGAAUAUGCCACCACACCUUGCUGGGAGCAGGGAUAACACGCCCAAAGAAAAGGGAUGAGCCGGGUCACUGAUCCUCACAAGGCCUGAAGAAGAGGUGGGACUCAUCACGAGGCCACAAAGAAAUACACAUUUUUUUUCUGGAGGUGGAUUUUCUGUUUGCUGAACAGAGCAGAUGGCUGUGCUUGAGAGGGGAAAGGAAAUUGCUAACCCUGUCCCCUGGCAUAGAAGAAAAAAUUGACGAAGUCACCAGGCUGGGCUCCAGCCCCUCUUCUGCAGCCUCAGCAGAUUUCUCUGCUGACACUCUGCCAUCAGAGAGUCUUUGAGGAGCACUGCCCCUGCUUCCCU
rnacentral:lncRNA from 1 species